rnacentral:lncRNA from 1 species
CGCCACCGAAGGUGAGUUUUUUUUGCUUGAAUCUUUCUGGAGCAUUUGUUAGAGAUCAAGAGGGUGAGGAUGGGUGAAAGUGAGACGGAGAGGAGAAUGAUUAGGCUAGUGUGAGCUUUUGAGUGAGAGGGUUUUAACAAGAGAGAGCGAGAUAUGGGGGGCGAUGAGAGAGCGAUUAAGAGAAGGCGAUGAGAGAGCGUUUGCUGAGAGUGAUUAAGAGAAGGCAAUGGAGAGCGUUUGCUGAGAGCGAUUAAGAGAAGGCAAUGGAGGGAGUUUUCUUGUAGCGAUUGAGAGAAGAGAGAGACCGUGCGUGAGGUUUGGGAACUGGACUUUCUUCCGUUGUCUUCACCUUUUCUUUUUAUUUUUUUUAUUUUUUAUUUAUUUGCUGUCAUUAGGCAGACCAUUUAAUCUCCACUAAUUGAACGUUUAGAGUUCUCAUUGGUCAUUAACUAUGAUUUAUUGGUUUAGGUUUUAGUUAAAUGUUUUUUUAAUAUUCCCAAUUCCUAACCUCAAAAAUCCAACAGCCAGGCGGCUGGAUUGUUCUUUGGUAAUCCAACAGACCUUUACUAUUUAUUAUUUUAGUUUCUUCUUUCAUUUUUUCCAAUCUAGUAUGGUUUAUAUAUUUAUGUUGUUAUUUAAAUGAUAACUAAUUAUAAGCAGUCUAGUGGAGAGAGUGUAGAUUCUAAGUCUUUAGUGGAGUGGGUUCAAUACCCACAUAUUGCAUUUUCUUUAUUUCUCUUAGCAUUCAUUUUUUUUUCUAUGUUUGUGUUUUAUUAUAAUUUCACCCAUACUCGUAGUUGUAUUAUUGUUUAAUAACACAAAAUCUGUUUUUUUAUUAAUUUCAUCAUUCAUUCAAAACCAUUUUAAACUAUUA